GUCCUGGAGACGCCUGCUGACACUUCACUCUGCUCUUUGGGGCUUUCCCCAGAAGACUGUGGGAUGGACCCCAGCCUAGGGGAUGCUAAGAUGAAUACCAAAAGAGCUCAUUUCAUUCAUCUGCCGUGUUAGCAUCAAACAUCUACUCAAGCCUUGAAACCUGAGAAGGAGAAGCCCUCUGUCCCUAGGAUUAAGGGAUAGGGGGAAUGAAAUAGAUUUCCUGUAUCAAACAUUACACUCUAGUAGAUGAGCCUCCUCUUUAAGAAGCUGUCUUCAAGUGUGCUUAAUUUUGCCUCAAUCGGGUAAAAGAAUUUAGAGUUCUUGAGAGCUACAUGUUUUCAUCAGUAACUCAGGGCUAUCCAUCAUGUCAAGACACUUAAACAGAGGUGAGAUUUGAAGCUGUGAAAGAGAAUGACCAAGGAAGAGGCAGAAGGAAAAUGAGAGGUAACCACUGAAGGAGAUAGACGUGGUCAUGGAGGUUCAGUUGGAGCGGCUCAUGCUCUAGACACAAAGGGCGGAGAGGGAGAAGCUGGUAGAUCCGAUGAAAAAGCUAAAGUCUUGAAGUCGUUGGUGCUCUAUUCAUCAAAUACCUGAUUGAAGAUUUCCACCUGUACUAGUUUCCUGUGGCUGCUGGUAACAAAUUACUGCACAUUUGGUGGCUUAAAACACAGAAUUUAUUCUCCUGCAGUUCUGGAGGCCAGAAGUCUGAAAUCUGUUUCACUGGGCCGAAGUCAAGUGUCCACGGGGCCACGCCCCUCUGCCAUGCCCCUCUGGAGACUAGGGCAGAAUCUUUUCUCACUCUUUCAGCUUCUGGUGGUUGCCAGCAACCCUUGGCCUCUGGCUGCAUCACUCUCAUCUCUAAUCCCAUGGUCACAAUGCCUCUUCCUCUUCUGCCUGUGUCAAAUUUCCCUCUGCCUCUCUUGGAAGAACAAAGAUACACGGGACUGCAUUUAGGACCCAACUGGAUAAUCCAGGACAAGCUGGCCAAAACAAGAUCCUCAAUUUAAACAGAUCUGCAAAGUCCUUUGUUGCCGUAUAAAGUAACGUUCACAAGUUCUAGGCAUUAGGACCUAGAUAUCUUUGGCAGCCAGUAGUGAGCCUACACAAGAUAAUAGUGAACAAAAUGCAAUGAAAAUUUCGAAGAUGUGUUCACGAAAAGUUCAAUUCCACUGUAGGACACAGAGGAUGAUGUAUGGAGUAAUUCUUUAAAAGCUUGAGCAAAUGUGUGCGCCAACUUUUUUUCAAUGUGAUAAUCACAAAAUUUUUUUUUCUGUUACC
rnacentral:lncRNA from 1 species